CUGCUCUCCACUCAGCCGGUGCUUGCUGCCCCAAUCAGUAAAGAGCCUCUGCUGCUUUACAUUGCGGCCACGGGACAAGUUGUCAGUACAGUACUUACGGUCGAGCGGGAAGAAGAAGGAAAGGCCUUCAGAGUUCAGCGCCCAGUAUAUUAUGUGUCUGAAGUUUUGACUCCUUCGAAGCAAAGAUAUCCCCAUUACCAGAAGCUUGUAUAUGGGAUUUACAUGACCACGAAGAAGGUUGCACACUACUUCUCUGACCAUUCCAUUACAGUCGUCAACGACACUCCACUGUCAGAGAUUUUGCACAACAGAGAUGCAACUGGUCGAGUGGCGAAGUGGGCGAUUGAACUCCUUCCCCUAGAUAUCAAGUUUGAAGCAAAGAAGGCUAUCAAGUCCCAAGCAAUUGCAGAUUUCGUCGCCGAGUGGAUUGAACAACAGCUUCCAACUCAAGUUCACUUGGAGCACUGGACCAUGUUCUUUGAUGGAUCUAAGAUGCUGAAUGGUUCCGGUGCUGGGGUAGUAUUGGUCUCCCCCCGAGGAGAUAAGCUCAGAUAUGUUCUCCAGAUUCACUUCGAU
rnacentral:rRNA from 1 species